GAUGAACGCUGGCGGCGUGCCUAAUACAUGCAAGUCGAGCGAACGGACGAGAAGCUUGCUUCUCUGAUGUUAGCGGCGGACGGGUGAGUAACACGUGGAUAACCUACCUAUAAGACUGGGAUAACUUCGGGAAACCGUAGCUGAUACCGGAUAAUAUUUUGAACCGCAUUGUUCAAAAGUGAAAGACGGUCUUGCUGUCACUUAUAGAUGGAUCCGCGCUGCAUUAGCUAGUUGGUAAGGUAACGGCUUACCAAGGCAACGAUGCAUAUCCGACCUGAGAGGGUGAUCGGCCACGCUGGAACUGAGACACGGUCCAGACUCCUACGGGAGGCAGCAGUAGGGAAUCUUCCGCAAUGGGCGAAAGCCUGACGGAGCAACGCCGCGUGAGUGAUGAAGGUCUUCGGAUCGUAAAACUCUGUUAUUAGGGAAGAACAUAUGUGUAAGUAACUGUGCACAUCUUGACGGUACCUAAUCAGAAAGCCACGGCUAACUACGUG
rnacentral:rRNA from 1 species